CUGAAGAGAGUCACGUUUAGCAUUGAUCGCAAGCCUUGGCACAAAGACCUUACUCAAUUUCAAAACUUAUUACAUCUGUAUAUGGUUCAAUUUCAUAAAAUAUGCUUUGCUGUACUAAGUACUAGUAGCUGUGCAAUGUACAAGUA